CGUAAACAUUAUUUCAAGAGGUUUCCGAAAAGGAUCUCUAAAAUUAUCAGAGAAUUCACAAUUCAAGAGUACCUAACGAAGAAGAAGGGAAAUUAAUCCUUCAUAUGGCUCAAGUGGCUGCUUGACACCUUAUUAAGAAAACGAUGGAACAGACAUGUCAUCAGUGGGUCAGCACACCUGUGACAGGCAAUACAAGCCAUCACCUUAUCUGCCCUAGAUUUGUGGAAGAACCUCCAGCUCUCAUUAUCCUCUCACUCCACUGGAAAAAAACACACAACUCCCCAAAAUCCCCAAACAAAACAAAACCCCA
rnacentral:lncRNA from 1 species